GAUUAACGCUGGCGGCAUGCCUAACACAUGCAAGUCGGACGGUAGCACAGAGAGCUUGCUCUUGGGUGACGAGUGGCGGACGGGUGAGGAAUGUCUGGGGAUCUGCCCGAUAGAGGGGGAUAACCACUGGAAACGGUGGCUAAUACCGCAUAACGUCGCAAGACCAAAGGGGGGGACCUUCGGGCCUCUCACUAUCGGAUGAACCCAGAUGGGAUUAGCUAGUAGGCGGGGUAAUGGCCCACCUAGGCGACGAUCCCUAGCUGGUAUGAGAGGAUGACCAGCCACACUGGAACUGAGACACGGUCCAGACUCCUACGGGAGGCAGCAGUGGGGAAUAUUGCACAAUGGGCGCAAGCCUGAUGCAGCCAUGCCGCGUGUAUGAAGAAGGCCUUCGGGUUGUAAAGUACUUUCAGCGGGGAGGAAGGCGGUGAGGUUAAUAACCUUGCCGAUUGACGUUACCCGCAGAAGAAGCACCGGCUAACUCCGUGCCAGCCGCCGCGGUAA
rnacentral:rRNA from 1 species